rnacentral:rRNA from 1 species
CCUACGGGGGGCAGCAGUGAGGAAUAGUGGUCAAUGGCCGGAAGGCUGAACCAGCCAAGCCGCGUGAAGGACGAAGGUGCCAAGCAUUGUAAACUUCUUUUGUCAAGGGACAAAGAAAGUGACGGUACCGGUUGAAUAAGUCACGGCUAACUACGUGCCAGCAGCCGCGGUAAUACGUAGGUGGCAAGCGUUAUCCGGAUUUACUGGGUGUAAAGGGCGUGUAGGCGGGAGAGCAAGUCAGACGUGAAAUUCCAGGGCUCAACCCUGGAACUGUGUUGGAAACUGUUCUUCUUGAGUGCUGGCGAGGCAGGCGGCCUUCCGUGUGUAGCGGUGAAAUGCGUAGAUAUACGGAGGAACACCAGUGGCGAAGGCGGCCUGCUGGACAUUAACUGACGCUGAGGCGCGAACGCGUGGGGAGCAAACAGGAUUAGAUACCCUAGUAGUC